rnacentral:lncRNA from 10 species
GAGGCGGGUCUUCCGGGCUUGGAGGCGGGCUUCCCAACUCUGAUAACUGAUAAUUGCAUGGUUUUGAAAAGUGUUUUUAAAAAACUACCCAUUAGGAGUGAAAACAAUGUAGUGAGUUGCAAUCAGCAUAUAAAAAAUUAAAUACAAUAGUAAUAUACCAAGUGACUCCCAGGUAGUAACUUUGUGUACUUCAUCCUCCAACAGUAGACAGAAUGGUUUGUGUUUGCCCAGGGUGCCCAGGUUCUGAGGUGUUUUGCAUUUGGAAAGGGAAAAUUAGUCACUGAGACGUAACAGGAAUAAGGAUGCAGAGCUGGAAGAAACCUCAGGAAUGCUUUCGAUUUUGCAGAUGAGGACAGAAGCCCAGGACUUGCCAAAGGAACCUCAUGGGAGAGUCUGGAUUAGUUCAGAGACCUCACCUUUCCAUUUAACUUCUGAGUCUUGGUUUUCUUGGUCAAAGGAGAAUUUGUCCUUGCGAUCCAGACUGGAGUCAAACUUUGUGCCAUCUAAUAGCCAGCCAGUGUAGUGGACAAAGACUCGGUCCCCAAUCAUGGGCAUCUCUGUACCUGUGCCCUCUCUCUUGAUGACCUGGGAGGAAGGGGGAGAAGGUGCAGCAAGACUUGGUUUGAAAAAGGAGACAAAAGGCUGAGAGAUCUGAGUUCAAGUUUCCGCUGUAUGUGGUCGUCAGACUAAGGUCUGGUUUGGAGACAGGAGAGCGAGAGGAGUAUGAGUGAAGAGAAUAGAAACAGUUCAAAACAGAAAACGGCAGGACGCUGGAGCGAGAAGGGGAAGUCACAUGCCACAGGAGAGCCGCUGGAGCAGACGCUUGAGGUCCCCAAUA